GGGCUAGUGGUACAAUGGCUAUCAUGUCUGACUAUGGAUCAGAAGAUUCUAGGUUUAACUCCUGGCUGGCUUG